AUUUGAUGUGGGAAUCAUGACUAAACCCUAGAUUGAUGUUCCGCUGGUGGACACGGAUGUUUUGGAGAGGGGAGUAGAGAGAUCUUGAUACAGUUCCCAGCUCCAGCCCUUGUCAGUAGGAAGCCGAGUCAAGGGCCUGAGUCACAGCCCGAUAACCCUGAACACUUCCAUUGUCGGAAAUCUUCAACUUUUCCAUUCCUACAUCCGCAGUACAUGUUUUCCGGAUUUCACCAGUUACUUGACGAAAUAGCGAAAAAGAUCAGCCAAGUGCACCAUGUGGGUGUUUUUCUGUGCUGCCUCGUAUUUCAAUAUAUGUCACCGCUAUGAGAGGAGUGCAUUGUUCCCCUCAUAAACAGCAAACAUUUUUCUGAACCUUUUAAUAAAAACAAAUAUUUCCUGAC
rnacentral:sRNA from 1 species